rnacentral:misc_RNA from 1 species
GAUGAAGAACGCAGCGAAAUGCGAUAAGUAAUGUGAAUUGCAGAAUUCAGUGAAUCAUCGAAUCUUUGAACGCAUCUUGCGCUCCUUGGUAUUCUGAGGAGCAUGCCUGUUUGAGUGUCAUUAAAUUCUCAACUACACUGACUUUGAAUUGGUGUGGCUUGGAUUUGGGGGGAAAAUUGUUGUGGGCUUUUUGUAUAGUCUGCUCCCCUGAAAUUGAUUAGCGGUACCUUUGUGGAACUGUCUACAGGUGUGAUAAUUAUCUACAUCUUAGACAUCUGCUGGAAUGCUGCUUUCUAAACCAUACUUGUAUUGACAAUCUUGACCUCAAAUCAGGUAGGACUACCCGCUGAACUUAAGCAUAUCAAUAAGCGGAGGA